CCCGCCGGCGACCGGCGCACGGGUGAGUAACACGUAUGGAACCUGCCCGCAGCAGGGGGAUAAGCGGAAGAAAUUCCGUCUAAUACCGCGUAACACCGCAGAGGGGCAUCCCUCGGCGGUUAAAGAUUCAUCGGCUGCGGAUGGCCAUGCGGCGCAUUAGCUAGUCGGCGGGGUAACGGCCCACCGAGGCGACGAUGCGUAGGGGUUCUGAGAGGAAGGUCCCCCACACUGGUACUGAGACACGGACCAGACUCCUACGGAAGGCAGCAG
rnacentral:rRNA from 1 species